rnacentral:sRNA from 1 species
AAAACCUACCCCAUAUAGGAGUGAAUAAGGCAUGUAGAGAGAGCAGAAGAUCUUUGCUUGGUGCUGCUAUUCUUGAUUCAUCAUUGUGCUUCGAUUCAAUGGCUUCUCAAGGGCAUACAUAUAUGGUUCUCAGGAUUCACAGAAAGGGUUGAGGAGGAAAACAAAGAACAACUUGCAUGAAACAGGUUCACUGUCAUGUAGCGUCUGAAUCCAAUAAUACAUUGUCACCCAACAAAACCAUUUUUACUCACAUCUUUUCAUUUCCCUUAUUAGACUAAAAUUAUAGUUCCAUUUAAGUAUCAAGACAGGUGUCACAAAACUAGUUUGGUGACGAGAAGAAAAUUUUGGAGUCAGCAGACCCGCAACCUUUCUUUUUCGGUUAAUUUUGCUAUGUUGUAUUUGCUGCCGCUAUUUUC